rnacentral:rRNA from 1 species
UUUGGGAACGGCCUGCGUAUGAUUAGCUUGUUGGUGAGGUAAUGGCUCACCAAGGCGACGAUCAUUAGCUGGUCUGAGAGGAUGAUUCAGCCAGACUGGGACUGAGACACGGCCCAGACUCCUACGGGAGGCAGCAGUAGGGAAUUUUCCACAAUGGGCGAAAGCCUGAUGGAGCAACGCCGCGUGCAGGAUGAAGGCCUUCGGGUUGUAAACUGCUUUUAUAAGUGAAGAUUAUGACGGUAACUUAUGAAUAAGGAUCGGCUAACUCCGUG